rnacentral:lncRNA from 1 species
UGAUGUUUGUUGCCUUGGUAAUCCUGCUCAGUAUGAGAGGAACCACAGAUUCAGACAUUUGGUGUAUGUGCUUGGCUGAGGAACCAAUGGGGCCAAAAUGAUCUCAGCCUAUUCUGGAACUUUAAUUGGGGUGAUUGACCCAGACUAUCAAGAUUAAAUCAGUCUACUACUCCACAAUAAAGGUAAGGAAGAGUAUGCGUGGAAUACAGGAGAUCUCGUAGGCUGUCUCUUAGUAUUACCAUGCCUCCUGAUUAAGUUCAAUGGGAAACUACAACAGCCCAAUCCAGGCAGGACUACAAAUGGCCCAGACCCUUCAGGAAUGAAGGUUUGGGUCACUGCAGCAGGUAAAACUCCAUGACCUGCUGAGGUGCCUGCUAAAGGCAAAGGGAAUACAGAAUGGAUAGUAGAAGGUAGUCAUCAAUACCUGCUACAACUACAUGACCAGCUGCAGAAAUGAGCACUGUAAUUGUCAUGAGUAUUUCCUCCUUAUGUUGUUAAGAACAUGUUUGUGUUGUAUUAAGAAAAUAUGUUCAUUUUAUUUCCUUUUAUAUCAUGUGACAUAAGAUUUAUUGACUUCAUAUCAGCAUUUAAGUUUUGUUAAUGUAAUAGCAUUUGUGUUGGG